rnacentral:rRNA from 1 species
UGAGUGGUAGGGGAGCGUUCUGUAAGUCUGCGAAGGUGUAUCGAGAGGUAUGCUGGAGAUAUCAGAAGUGCGAAUGCUGACGUAAGUAACGAUAAAGGGGGUGAAAAGCCUCCUCGCCGGAAGACCAAGGGUUCCUGUCCAACGUUAAUCGGGGCAGGGUGAGUCGACCCCUAAGGCGAGGCCGAAAGGCGUAGUCGAUGGGAAGCAGGUUAAUAUUCCUGCACGACUUGUAAUUGCGAUGGGGGGACGGAGAAGGCUAGGUGGGCCAGGCGACGGUUGUCCUGGUGAAAGUGCGUAGGUGGUGUUUCUAGGCAAAUCCGGAGACACAACACUGAGACACGAGACGAACACACUACGGUGUGGAAGCCAUUGAUGCCCUGCUUCCAGGAAAAGCCUCUAAGCUUCAGAUUACAAGUCAUCGUACCCCAAAC